UGGGGAAUCUUGCGCAAUGGCCGAAGGGCUGACGCAGCGACGCCGCGUGUGGGAGGACGCCCCUCGGGGUGUAAACCACUGUCGCCCGGGACGAACAAGCAGCGUAGGCUGCUCUGACGGUACCGGGGGAGGAAGCACCGGCUAACUCCGUGCCAGCAGCCGCGGUAAUACGGAGGGUGCGAGCGUUGUCCGGAAUCACUGGGCGUAAAGGGCGCGCAGGCGGUGGGCUAAGCGCGCGGUGAAAGCCCGGGGCUCAACCCCGGGUCGGCCGUGCGGACUGGCGCACUGGAGCACUGUAGAGGCGGGUGGAACUCCGGGUGUAGCGGUGGAAUGCGUAGAGAUCCGGAAGAACACCGGUGGCGAAGGCGGCCCGCUGGGCAGUGGCUGACGCUGAGGCGCGACAGCGUGGGGAGCAAACAG
rnacentral:rRNA from 1 species